CCUACGGGUGGCAGCAGUGGGGAAUAUUGCACAAUGGGGGAAACCCUGAUGCAGCGACGCCGCGUGAGUGAAGAAGUAUUUCGGUAUGUAAAGCUCUAUCAGCAGGGAAGAAGAAAGACGGUACCUGACUAAGAAGCCCCGGCUAACUACGUGCCAGCAGCCGCGGUAAUACGUAGGGGGCAAGCGUUAUCCGGAUUUACUGGGUGUAAAGGGAGCGUAGACGGUUGUGCAAGUCUGAAGUGAAAGCCCAGGGCUCAACCCUGGGACUGCUUUGGAAACUGUGGAGCUAGAGUGCUGGAGAGGUAAGUGGAAUUCCUAGUGUAGCGGUGAAAUGCUUAGAUAUCACGAAGAACUCCGAUUGCGAAGGCAGCUUACUAAACUGCCACUGACAUUGAUGCUCGAAAGUGUGGGUAUCAAACAGGAUUAGAUACCCUGGUAGUC
rnacentral:rRNA from 1 species